rnacentral:rRNA from 1 species
GGAUAAUCUACCCUUAGGACCGGGAUAACCCUGGGAAACUGGGGCUAAUACCGGAUAGGCAAUUUUUCCUGGAAUGGUUUUUUGUUUAAAUGUUUUUUCGCCUAAGGAUGAGUCUGCGGCCGAUUAGGUAGUUGGUUAGGUAAUGGCUUACCAAGCCGUUGAUCGGUACGGGUUGUGAGAGCAAGAGCCCGGAGAUGGAACCUGAGACAAGGUUCCAGGCCCUACGGGGUGCAGCAGGCGCGAAACCUCCGCAAUGUGAGAAAUCGCGACGGGGGGAUCCCAAGUGCCAUUCUUAACGGGAUGGCUUUUCAUUAGUGUAAAGAGCUUUUGGAAUAAGAGCUGGGCAAGACCGGUGCCAGCCGCCGCGGUAACACCGGCAGCUCUAGUGGUAACAAUUUUUAUUGGGCCUAAAGCGUCCGUAGCCGGUUUAAUAAGUCUCUGGUGAAAUCCUGCAGCUUAACUGUGGGAAUUGCUGGAGAUACUAUUAGACUUGAGACCGGGAGAGGUUAGAGGUACUCCCAGGGUAGAGGUGAAAUUCUGUAAUCCUGGGAGGACCGCCUGCUGCGAAGGCGUCUAACUGGAACGGUUCUGACGGUGAGGGACGAAAGUUAGGGGCGCGAACCGGAUUAGAUACCCGGGUAGUCCUAACUGUAAACGAUGCGGACUUGGUGUUGGGGUGGCUUUGAGCUGCUUCAGUGCCGAAAGGGAAGCUGUUAAGUCCGCCGCCUGGGAAGUACGGUCGC